rnacentral:piRNA from 1 species
CGGCCAAUGCAAAGAGAACUUUUA